rnacentral:rRNA from 1 species
UACGUAGGGGGCGAGCGUUGUCCGAAGUUACUGGGCGUAAAGCGCGCGUAGGCGGACUCUUAAGUGAGGGGUGAAAGGUUCAGGGCUCAACCCGAACACUGCCUUUCAUACUGGGAGUCUUGAGUGCGGGAGAGGCGAGUGGAAUGGUCGGUGUAGCGGUGAAAUGCGUAGAUAUCGAUCGGAACACCCAUGGCGAAGGCAGCUCGCUGGCCUGUAACUGACGCUGAGGAGCGAAAGCGUGGGGAGCAAACAGG